UCAGAGCCCUUGGAAGGCUGUGCCUAGAUA
rnacentral:piRNA from 1 species